rnacentral:tRNA from 1 species
AUUUAUGUAGUUUAAUUAAAACAUUCUAUUUUCAAUGGAAAAAUAAUAAAUAAUUCAUAAAUA